GUUUAUAGCAGCACUAGCCACAAUAGCCAAAGUACGGAAAGAGCCCAAAUGUCCGUUGAGGGAUGAAUGGAUAAAGAAGAUGUGGUAUAUAUACAAUGGAGUAUUACUCGGCAGUCAAAAAGAAUGAAAUCUUGCCAUUUGCAACUACGUGGAUGGAACUGGAGGGUAUUGUGCUAAGUGAAAUUAGUCAGUCAGAGAAAGACAAAUAUCAUAGGACUUCACUCAUAUGAGGAACUUAAGAGACAAAACAGAUUAACAUAAGGGAAGAGAAGCAAAAAUAAUAUAAAAACAGGGAGGGGGACAAAACAGAAGAGACUCAUAAAUAUGGAGAACAAACAAGGGUUACUGGAGGGGGUGUGGGAGGGGGGAUGGGCUAAAUGGGUCAGGGGCACUAAGGAAUCCACUCCUGAAGUCAUUGUUGCACUAGAUGCUAACUUGGAUGUACAUUUUAAAAACAAAAUGAAUUAAUUAAUUUAAAAAAUAUUCUCCUGGAGUUUCUUCUAAACGUAUUAAACUUUCGUUACUCACAGGUAAGCCUUGAAUCCACCUGGAGUGUGUAUGUGGCUUGAGGUGGGGAUCUAAUUUUACUUUUUUUCCAUAUGGAUCACAACUGUCUCAACACCACGUAUGAGUCUUUUCCCCACCCGUUGGUGGUGUCUCUCCAUCACAAGCACAUGUUCUCCUUCACGCAUGGUUGUGCCUCUGAGCUCUCCUCCUGUUCAGUUCAUCUCUUCAUAGCCUGAUGCCAAAGCUGCUGUGCUCAGUUUCUUUAAAAAGCUUGAAUAGCUGACAGAAUCUGGUGGAGGCCAAGAAGGCGGGUGGGGUGUGGGUGGGGCCUCAGAAAGAUGGUGCGGCACCGUCGUGCCGAUGAGUGGAGAACGGAUUUUAGAGGCCAAGGCUGAGGGGUCAGGAGGUGACCCCAGCGAGGCAGGGUGGCUGUCCAAGCGAGAGGCGAGCAGCUUGGGCGUGGGUGGCGGCGGCCAAGUGGCUGGAGAGCUGCUUCGCCAUCAGAUAAGCACGGAAGACGCGGGGAUGUUGCGUGCUCCUUCUGAGACAUUCACGGGGGACUUCGAUACGGUAAAGGCUGUCGGAAGUGCUGUGGUGAAAGGGGAGAAGCAAACAACCCGUUCGUGUUUAACCUAG
rnacentral:lncRNA from 1 species